rnacentral:rRNA from 1 species
UGGGGAAUAUUGCACAAUGGGCGCAAGCCUGAUGCAGCAACGCCGCGUGAACGAUGAAGGUCUUCGGAUCGUAAAGUUCUGUUGCAGGGGAAGAUAAUGACGGUACCCUGUGAGGAAGCCACGGCUAACUACGUGCCAGCAGCCGCGGUAAUACGUAGGUGGCAAGCGUUGUCCGGAAUUAUUGGGCGUAAAGCGCGCGCAGGUGGUUUAGAAAGUCUGAUGUGAAAGCCCACGGCUCAACCGUGGAGGGUCAUUGGAAACUAAUAAACUUGAGUGCAGGAGAGAAAAGUGGAAUUCCUAGUGUAGCGGUGAAAUGCGUAGAGAUUAGGAGGAACACCGGUGGCGAAAGCGGCUUUUUGGCCUGCAACUGACACUGAGGCGCGAAAGCGUGGGGAGCAAACAGG